rnacentral:rRNA from 1 species
ACGCUGGCGGCGUGCCUAAUACAUGCAAGUCGAGCGCUCAGGUUUGGAGUUUGCUCCUCACUGAUUAGUUGCGAACGGGUGAGUAACACGUGGGUAACCUGCCUCAUAGACUGGGAUAACUUUUGGAAACCGGAGCUAAUACCGCAUAACAUGUUUUACCGCAUGUUUCUUAUUUGAAAGGAGGUCUUGCUUCAACUUAAAAUGGACCCGCCUCCUAUUUACCUAUUUGGGAAGGAAACGCCCUACCAGGGCAACAAUCCUAACCCAACCGGAAAGGUGGACCGCCCCCCUGGGACUGAAAACCCGGCCCAAAUCCCACCGGAAGGCACCAUUAGGAAUCCUUCGCCAUGGACCGAAAUCCGAACGAACCACCCCCCCUGGAUUGAAAAAGGUCUCCGAACCUAAAACUCCGGUGAUUAAGAAAAACCUUGUGUGGAAUGGACUAUCCACCUCUUGACGGUACCUAACCAGAAAGGCACGGCUAACUACGUGCCAGCCGCCGCGGUAAUUCGUCGUGACUGGGAAACCCUGGCG